rnacentral:rRNA from 1 species
UACAGAGGAGCCAAGCGUUGUCCGGAUUGACUGGGCGUAAAGCGCACGCAGGCGGGGGUGCGCGUGGGGUGUGAAAUCUGGCCGCUUAACGGCCAGGCGCCAUCCCAUACGGCACGCCUGGAGCCUUGCAGAGGUCGGUGGAAUUGCCGGUGUAGUGGUGAAAUGCGUAGAUAUCGGGAGGAACACCAGUGGCGAAGGCGACUUCCUGGCCUGUUCUUGACGCUGAGGCGCGAAAGCUAGGGUAGCAAACGGG